rnacentral:lncRNA from 1 species
UUUUUUUUUCUUUUUUUUUUACAAAAUACAACAAAGCAUACCCAUUAGUUUGAAUCCUUUUUAAAUCCAUAUCUUUCACUUUUCCAUGCAAGCUUGCCCACAAAUAAUUCUGUCAUGUUUAAAAUUUUUCUCUUCAAAUUAGUAACACUUUUCAUCUUGAGUAGCUGUAGUCUGACUUUGAAGCAUUUUCAUAUGUUGCUCUCCUUCAUUCAUCUUUCCUACCCUGCUGGCGCUCACCUUUUCCAAUAGAAUUUAAUUCUAGAGGGAUCGUUAAAAUAACUAUUAUUGUUUCAAUUCAGCAACAGAAAUUUUGGUCCCUUCAAUGGAUCCAACCAAUUCAAAUGCUUGUAAGUACAUGCCUUUGUUUUUUUUCAACUGGAAUGCUAAAUUUCCUCUCAUAGAUAUAACAGUAUACAAGUCUCCUGUUACGUGUUGUCCCUAUUAUCACCAGAAAAAAAAAAUGUGUUACGAUUACUAUUAUUAUUAUUUGUUUCUUUAGAAAGUUUUUAGAUUAUAUUUUUUUAGUUUUUGAAUCAGUGAAUGUUUUUCAAGAACAAAUGCUUUCAGAAAGGGAGAAUUUGAAAAAAAAAAAAAAAUCAAAGCAUGCUAUAAAUGCAAGAAAAAAAAAAAUGGCACCAUUCUCUAAUUAUUGGCUUUGAAUUGUCCUUGUUGCAAUCAGGAAUUUGUUAGUAUUUUGUAGCAUGCUUCUUUCACUUAGAAAGUUUUAUCCACCACUCCCAUGCUAUGCACAGCACCACUGUGCAUAUUGGAUAAAUAAUAACAAAACAAAACAAUACAUCACGUACAGAAGAGCUAUCAGCCAAACAAAUAUACAUCGAUCUGUAAUUGCUAGGGUGUGGGGAAAAUAUAGAAUCAUUUGAAUAUUAGAUCAAUAUCUCAUCAGAUGUUUUGAGCCAUCUCACCAAACAGUGCAUCUCUUUCUGUCUCCUUCUCCCCUUUCCGUCUUUUAUUCUCUCUCUCUCUCUCUCUCUCUUCUUUCUCUCCCUUACUGUCCUUGAAAUUCUGCAGCAGAUGAAAACAAUAUACAAUGUAUAAAUUAUUGAUUGGGAAACUUAUUUAAUCUUAGGUACACUGCAAUGCAACAAGUCCUUUCAUAGAAUACACAAGCUAGGAUAUAGAAAAAGAUCCAAAAUAUUGGUCCAUAACUGAGAAAUACAAAUAUAAAGGAUAAAGAAUGAAUUGUUGUUUUCAAUUCUUUAAUUCAAGAAUUUUGCUAUUCCAAGAUAAUUCAAUCUUCUUUGGUUUAGAGAAAGGACAAUUAUUACAUCUAAUCCAUCAUCUAUCUAUCUGGAAUUCUAGCAAAUGAGAAACAUGCUUUUUGUAUCAAUCAAGAUGUUUAACAACUGGUCCUCUUGGUUUUAGAACUAAAAAAUAACUUGAUCUCUCAUUUGUUGUUUUAAAGUUUUGCAACCUAAUUACAUGAACCAGAGCUAAAUAGGUAACAGUUUUAGUAACAAGAACAGAAUAUCUUUUAUUGAGUUUAAUAUUUUUUUAAAAUCACUUUUAAGAUGUGGGUUUUUUCAUGUUAAAUGAAUUAUCUUUUAUUUUUCAUUUUAUGUACACUUUUUUUAAUGACUUCACUCCACAUUCUAUAAUUCUUAAUUCUUAUCUGAGUUAUUCCACACCAUUGGACUGUUGCCAAACACUACACUUUUUCGCAUUGGAUUCUUUUAUUCUUGAAUCCUGAAUAUCUUUCCAUUUCACUAAGUAAUCAUGAAAUAGACCCAGUACUAAAAACACACAGAACUAUAAUCAAAAAUAUAAAGGUUUUAUUUUGCUCCUCAUUCAUCUAAUUUUUCUAUUAGAACUUAGAAUUUCACAAGAAUGAAAGAUGCACAUAUAAAUUCAUGUUAUGUGUCAUAUAGUUGUUACAUUCAUUUUAUUUUUAAAUUUUGCUCACAGAUACACAUACAUGCACACAUGCAUAUACAUUUACCCAUACAUACACAUUUUAUCACAUGAAUGCAUGCCGUUUCUUCUUAACUAUUAUAAUUUCAUCAUGCCUUUCUUCUUUCUACACUCAAAAAUUCUUGUAUAUCACUUUAUUCACUUCUUUAUUUCUUAAGUCAAGUCCCCCCAACCUGAGAUAUACAAUACACACGUGCAUGUGUUCAAACGUACACAUAUUCCUUGGAAAAUUACAAAAGUAAAAAAAAAAAUUUAAAAAAAA